rnacentral:rRNA from 1 species
CCUACGGGAGGCAGCAGUGAGGAAUAUUGGUCAAUGGGCGCAAGCCUGAACCAGCCAAGUCGCGUGAGGGAAGACGGCCCUACGGGUUGUAAACCUCUUUUGCCGGGGAGCAAGCCUGAGCACGUGUGCCCAGUCGGAGAGUACCCGGAGAAAAAGCAUCGGCUAACUCCGUGCCAGCAGCCGCGGUAAUACGGAGGAUGCGAGCGUUAUCCGGAUUUAUUGGGUUUAAAGGGUGCGCAGGCGGGCUGUUAAGCCGGCGGUAAAAAUUCAGGCCUCAACCCUGUCGAGCCGUCGGAACUGGCAGCCUGGAGUGGGCGAGAAGUAGGCGGAAUGCGUGGUGUAGCGGGGAAAUGCAUAGAUAUCACGCAGAACGCCGAUUGGGAAGGCAGCAUACCGGCGCCCGACUGACGCUGAGGCACGAAAGCGUGGGGAUCGAACAGGAUUAGAUACCCCAGUAGUC